AGUGAACGCUGGCGGUAGGCCUAACACAUGCAAGUCGAACGGCAGCACAGUAAGAGCUUGCUCUUACGGGUGGCGAGUGGCGGACGGGUGAGGAAUACAUCGGAAUCUACUUUUUCGUGGGGGAUAACGUAGGGAAACUUACGCUAAUACCGCAUACGACCUACGGGGGAAAGCAGGGGAUCUUCGGACCUUGCGCGAUUGAAUGCGCCGAUGUCGGAUUAGCUAGUUGGCGGGGUAAAGGCCCACCAAGGCGACGAUCCGUAGCUGGUCUGAGAGGAUGAUCAGCCACACUGGAACUGAGACACGGUCCAGACUCCUACGGGAGGCAGCAGUGGGGAAUAUUGGACAAUGGGCGCAAGCCUGAUCCAGCCAUACCGCGUGGGUGAAGAAGGCCUUCGGGUUGUAAAGCCCUUUUGUUGGGAAAGAAAAGCAGCAGGUUAAUACCCCGCUGUUCUGACGGUACCCAAAGAAUAAGCACCGGCUAACUUCGU
rnacentral:rRNA from 1 species